GGAGCAGAGCUGGAGCUCUUGCAACAAAACCUGAACAGAGCAGAGAGCUCAGUGUGGUGACAGRGUGCUGUGAGUGCUCCUGAGGAUUUUGAACCCCCUGUCGUGUUUGCAGUGUUUUARAGCACAGCCUGGUGCCAUCGGGUGUCACCUGGAGCCGAGGGGACAGAGUGUAACACGGGAUUUUACACAUCCACUGACUGAGCUCAGAGAAAUCAAACAGCAGCCAGCUGUUGUGAACACUUCCAUGGGAGGUGCCUGAGGAAGGGGCUGGAAGGGCAGCCCCGACUGCUUUUCUUCUGCUGCUGGGCUUGUGGACUCUGUUCUACAACACGGGCACACAGCCUCUCCCAGCUGCUGGWGUUUCAGCUGACAGCACUUGCCACCACACAACAGCUGAGAUUCAGCCUCAUUCUACAGACAAUUUUGUGUUUGUGUCCCAACCAGUGACUCCUGGGUUAUGAUUCCUGCUUAAAGUCCUGUCAAAGGAGAUCACAGAAUGAGGACACUCUGACAGCUCAGCCUCCUGCAGCCUCAGCAAAAUAAUUGCUCAAAUGCAUUGAAAAACUGCAUCAAGGAAAAGCCCCAAGCCAGCACAGUGCUGUGUGUGCACCCAGCCUUGCUGGUAUCUAUAAACCAUAUUUCUUGAGAAGCUUUUCUGGCUUUCUGGGCACCCCUACAUCAGCACAGUAACACCAAGACAUUUUGCCUGGCUUUACAUAGGAAAAAUAAAUGUGGCUGUGAAGAUAAGAUAGAAUAAGAAAACAAAAAAAACUUAUCGUAGUUAAAACAAGGCUCAAGUGAGACCACAUGGAAUGAGACAACAGGGAAGCUGAACAAAGGAAAAUAUUAGAAAAAUGCAGGUUGUAUUUGGUGGAACAAAAUCUUGAAAAGCUGAGGAUGUUUGCAAAGCAGUGCUAGUUCCUGUGGACACUAAGCACUAAAAACCUGCCAGAAUUUAUUAUCCUGAGUUAAAAAAAAAAAAAAAAAAAAAAAAAAAAGAAAAAAGAAAAAAGAAAAAAAAAGGUAACAAUGGCUUUAAUUAUUUGAUUUUUUAAAAGUAGCAGCUCUCUGGACAAAGGUCUCCAGAGAAAAACAGGUAGUGACUAUCAGUGCUGAGAAAACAAAAAUACAGCAAUAUACAUGCAAGAAUCUCACACUACAUCCCACAGAGCAGAAUGCAGCAUUACUUUGGUUGUCCAAUAUAUAGAAGCAGGAGAUACUGAACACCCUUUUUAGCACGUAUCUGGAGAAAUGUUUAUAAGCCCUACAGAAAUAAUUCUCAUCUCACUCUAUGAAAAUAGGGGAAACAAGACUGAUUCUGUGACAAAAGGGUCUGCAGUGGCACACAGACACCUAUUUUCUKUGCACUCAAGCCUUUUUUAUGGUCAUGUCCAUAAAAACAUUACAGUGCCUUCUCCAAGUUUGAGUGAAACUGUCCUGAAAAUACUUCUUUCAAGGCUUAAUCCCUGAAAAACAACAUUUGCUUGGUUCAAACUUUUUGGUCAUUCUUAAAUGAAUUUUAGGAGGAUAAUAUKUAAUGAUGUUCUCAUUGAGUUCCAUCUUGUUUGCAUUACGUCACACAAAAAUGCACUGCAGAAAGGUUUUUCAUAAUGCCAUUAUGCUAUUAGUGAUAGUGGGAGAAAUUGUGAUAUUUAAGUAUCAACAGAAAUAGCUUCAUUGGCUUUCAGAAGAGAUGGGGAAGGAAAGAGAAAARGGGACAAUCAGCUGAUAUGUCAAACAUCCAUAUACAAAUGAUGAUUCAGAGAGGGGUUAUGAUAGUACCGAGGCUAAUGAGACACUACAGAUAAUAAAAGAGACACAAAAUGGAGUUCACUUUAUAAUCUGARUGUAUUAUAGACCUAAUCAAGAGGAAGGAAGAAAACAAAUCAUUGCUUGUGGAAGUGGAGAGGAGGGGGAAAAUGCCAGCAGAUGACUCAAUGCUCCUGGGUCAUUCCAGUUCCAGCUCUCCAUCGACCUGCCUGGGGAAGUUUGAAGGGCACUUUUAAAAAUGCUUCAAGUGGGUCCUAUACUGAAAAGGCAAAGCCAGGACAAGAUUUCUAGAUCUGCCUUUUUACAGAGAGAAAAUAGAGGGAGUCUUGACUGUAGCYGAUGGGGAUGGCUGUGCCUGCAGCAUGAAGUGUGCACUCACAUCUGCCAAUGCUGCUCUGCUGAUCACAAUGGUUUUUAUAUAUAAAAGGUUUGCAUGUACAAGUCUUAUAAUAAAACAAGAUAUUUUCUUUUAAGUUUUCACCUCCUUCAUCAUCCUGCUUUCCUUGUUUGGGAAGGAACUUUUGAUGCUUUUACACUUUCUAGGCACUCCUCUGGUAGCCAAACCUGUGACAGCAGCAAGCACCCAGCAUUCAAACAGCUGAAAGUUUUGGAAACACCCAUCCAGGAUUCAUCUGAAUACUGGAAAUGAAAAUGAGCCCAGCUCAGGGCGCAGCCAACUCCCAUCUGUGGGAACAGAACCCAGUACAGUGAAAAUCUGACAGUUCUGAUUCCUUGUCUGCAUCCUGGGCUUUCUUGAAAGCUUUGUUACUAAGUGCUGAAAGUUAGAAACUCUUUUCAUGCUUUGCUUUCCGAAUUUCAUCGAAGGAAAGAAACCAUUUUGCAACUUCUGUAACACAGCAUCUGAUGUUUUCUGGUUACAUUGAGUACACACACUGGCUUUUAAUUCUUCCAGAAAAAAACGAUUUGAAAGCUUCUGUAUGUGGAACUGAAUCAUCCUGUAUCAAAUUAAAGAGAAAUUCACUAAUA